UACGUAGGGGGCAAGCGUUGUCCGGAUUUAUUGGGCGUAAAGAGCGUGUAGGCGGCCAGAUAGGUCAGCUGUGAAAACUCGAGGCUCAACCUCGAGAUGUCGGCUGAAACCAUCUGGCUAGAGUCCGGAAGAGGAGAAUGGAAUUCCCGGUGUAGCGGUGAAAUGCGCAGAUAUCGGGAAGAACACCCGUGGCGAAGGCGGUUCUCUGGAACGCAACUGACGCUGAGACGCGAAAGCGUGGGGAGCAAACAGG
rnacentral:rRNA from 1 species